UACGGAGGAUGCGAGCGUUAUCCGGAUUUAUUGGGUUAAAGGGUGCGUAGGCGGAAUAUCAAGUCAGCGGUAAAAAUUCGGAGCUCAACCCCGUCGUGCCGUUGAAACUGAUGUUCUUGAGUGGGUGAGAAGUAUGCGGAAUGCGUGGUGUAGCGGUGAAAUGCAUAGAUAUCACGCAGAACUCCGAUUGCGAAGGCAGCAUACCGGCGCCCAACUGACGCUGAAGCACGAAAGCGUGGGUAUCGAACAGG
rnacentral:rRNA from 1 species